rnacentral:misc_RNA from 1 species
CUUUACUGUUGCAAAACGAGGGAAAAAAAUGGGGAAGGACGAACCGACUUGGUAAAAGUGAUAAAGGUCUGAAACCACUCAACUGAUUCAGAUCAGUAGAAGACAUCGACUGGAUCGUAUUUGUGUUUACCGAUUUCAAUCAUCAAUCUUCAUUUUCAACGAGAGUAGCACAAGGCUUCCAGAGCUGUGAGCCGUAAUUUAAUGGCAAAAAGGAAUUCGCAAUGCUCAAUCGAGUGCUUCGAAGAACCGCCGAUGAGUGCUUCGAGGAAAGCAGUUCGCCAUGCUGGGCGUACUAUUACGGAUGCGAAAGACUGCUGAAUUUUGGACCUCAGGGCAUUAUCGUGGGCGAGGACGGCAGCAAGACUGUGGUGAAGGUACCCCAAUCAUCAUCGACAAUCUCGACCAUCUUUCAGGUUGACUUUAAUGAGCGUCGAUGGCCACCGCUGAAUUAUGAGACGAGCGACGAAGAGGAGCUCUCGGCAACAUUUGACUCUCUCGGGCAGGAUGAAUUGGACGUCCAUCAAUUCGAGGCCAUGGCUGGAGCCAGUGCGACCGACGAGAGUUGCCGUUACUCAACGCAGAGUUUCCAAGAUUAUUCUUUCAGGGCUGCUGCUGCUGCCGUCGUUCCAGCGACGUGCUCCCGACAGCGGCCAACCAUCGUGAGGUCAAACACCCCGCCCCCUCUCGGGAAAACCAUUACACCAUUGCGAGGGAACCUUUCGGUCGUGCUCAGCGCUAUCUACUGCAUCUUCUUGGUCACAGUGGGCGUGGUGAUUGGUGUGGCCGAUUUGAUUUUGCCCGACAAAAACAUCGGAGAAAUCUUUAGCAUUUAUCUGCUCAUUCCUGGACUGGUUUGGUAUGUCGUUCUCCAUAUCGAUUUGCGGCGACACACGAACGCUGUCAACGACCAUCAACAACCCGCAUCGUGGACCGAGCCGGAUUACAUGAGUUGCCAUUCUUUGGAUAGCGAAAAAUUCUCUACGACUUCAGCUGUCAACGGCUACACAUUUCGUCGCGGCCGUCACUCGGGCAGCUUCUUUUUGAAAAUAGGAGCUGCAGGAUUUUGUUUCGGACAUUUAAUACACAGCUGCCUGAUGCUCGCCCGGCAAAUACUUCACUUCACCAGCCAAGAUCCCACGAUACAACGCGACUGUGCCGACACGACCGCACUGAUCCUUUAUCUGCUGCUGCCCGUUUACUCAUUUUACCAGCUCUUCAUUCUCUUCAAAUACUCAAACGUGAUGAUUAAUCGAUGGAACGACUUGGCCAGUUUCGCCCUCAUGCACUCGAUGGCUACCAGUCUCUUCUUUUGGUUCUGGAGUGUUCGCAACGAAACGGUCGACAGUCUACACCACCGGCGACUCCUAAAAGAUCAUCAACAGAAACCCGAAAGUGACACCGCCAUUACGACGAUGUCCUACCUAAUGAAUCUGACUGGAGAAGAGUACACCAACAGCAACUCAAACCUGAUGGGGAUGCUGUGGAAUGGCACCGUCCUGAGCGCAAUGCGCUGCGCCGAAGGCAGUGACUUCUCCGCUCUCAUUCUCUCCUUCUCGCCGUAUCUUUAUCCAUUUAGCAUCGAGUACAGCAUUUUAGUAGCUGGAAUUUGGUUCAUAAUGUGGCAAAAUGUUGGCAAAGUGGACGAUACUUACAGAUCGGGCGACGGUAGCAGGUCGACCUCUCCGAGUCGUAACAACCAUUACGACCAUCAACUGCUACUACGUAAUCAUCUGGUUAUUCACGCUGAUUGCUCUUCGGCCAACCGAGGCUUGUUUGCUGGACUGGUGGUCAUGGUCGCCACCGCCGUCAGCAUUAUCGUUUUCUUCCUAGCCUUUAGCGAUCGCCGUUACGUGCCCACCGGCAUAUGGAUCGGUCUUGUCUCAGAGUCAACGCUGCUUAUUCUAAUGAUUUGCGCCGCUGGCUUGGCGUGCCGCCAACUCGCCGUAUUGGACAUCAACGCCAAUCCUGUCUCCCAGCUCGACGACUUGCUCCUCUUCAUUUGCAUUCCUUCCUUCUUCCUUUAUGGCAUUUUCAGUAUCGUCCCCGCUAUGGCCUAUUCCACUACAUGGCACUUUUCGUCGCCAUCCUCUAGGUGAUUCAAGUCAUCCUGCAAACGCCCACAAUCAUCGACGGCCUGCGCCGCUGCAGCCGCAGUGUCGAAAUGCAGGCGUCUAGACCGGGACGAGAAGUCAUCACCUUCCUCAUCGUUUGCAAUUUGUCCAUGUGGUUUAUGGAAACGCUGGAAAUCAAAUCCUACGAGACCAAUAUGGACCGCAUCCAUUUUUACGGGCACCCACUUUACUUUGGACGCUGCUCAGUCACGUCACUCUGCCAUUGACACUGUUUUAUCGCUUUCACUCGGCUUCGUGCCUGGUCGACAUCUGGAAAUCUGCCUACGAAGCACCAGAACAGUGAGAAGGACUUGGGGUCCUACUAUACGUGAAACAAAUUUCAAGUGUAAUUCUGUUUCGCUCGCGAUUUUUAGCGAUGAUGAGGCGGUCCCUCAACUAGGCCCUCCCGUGUACACAAUACCCACCGUUCUCCAUACAGUAUUGUAUUUUUUGAAAAAAAAUGUAAAGGAGAGAUGUAUGGAAAAAGGAAUGAUGGAUAUGAGCCAGCAGAAAUAUAUCGGCGCGUCAUGGUACUCGUUCCAAAUGCUUCCAACGUACAAAACACACACACAAAUAAAAA